AUUGAACGCUGGCGGCAUGCCUUACACAUGCAAGUCGAACGGCAGCACGGGUGCUUGCACCUGGUGGCGAGUGGCGAACGGGUGAGUAAUACAUCGGAACAUGUCCUGUAGUGGGGGAUAGCCCGGCGAAAGCCGGAUUAAUACCGCAUACGAUCUACGGAUGAAAGCGGGGGACCUUCGGGCCUCGCGCUAUAGGGUUGGCCGAUGGCUGAUUAGCUAGUUGGUGGGGUAAAGGCCUACCAAGGCGACGAGCAGUAGCUGGUCUGAGAGGACGACCAGCCACACUGGGACUGAGACACGGCCAAGACUCCUACGGGAGGCAGCAGUGGGGAAUUUUGGACAAUGGGCGAAAGCCUGAUCCAGCAAUGCCGCGUGUGUGAAGAAGGCCUUCGGGUUGUAAAGCACUUUUGUCCGGAAAGAAAUCCUUGGCCCUAAUACGGUCGGGGGAUGACGGUACCGGAAGAAUAAGCACCGGCUAACUACGUG
rnacentral:rRNA from 1 species